rnacentral:misc_RNA from 1 species
AGCUGGAUCAUUUUCCGAUAACCAUUAUACCAAGUCGUCCUGAGAGCUUGCUCUCUGGGCGCCAACCGUAGAGGGGUCCCCGCCUUCCGGCCUUUCAUGAGGGGGAGGUAUUAAUCGGGCGAGACCACCCAAACAAUCAUAACGCGUGUACGCGCCACACACUUCGGUGCGUGCUGCUGUGUGUACGCGGGACUUUGCCUCUUCACACUAUACAUGUGACGGUGCGCGCCUCACCGCGCGCACUCGGCUCAGUGUGGAGCACGGCUUCCACAACGUGUCGCGAUGGAUGACUUGGCUUCCCAUUUCGUUGAAGAACGCAGCAAAGUGCGAUAAGUGGUAUCAAUUGCAGAAUCACCCUAGUACCGAAUCUUUGAACGCAAAAGGCGCCCGAGAGAAGCUGUUCACCAGCGAACCUCGUGCAUGCCGCAAUCUCAGUGUCGAACAAAAAACAAUCUAUACAGAAGAGUCUCGGACUUCGCGACGCUUCACUGCGCUGCGGCCGGGCGGUUGCGAGUGCGUACACGUUUACACGUGCAUGCAUCAAAGUCAACGCAACAAACCCCACAACAAACAAAGACCUUCUACCAAGAUCGUCUCUAUAUUGAACAUACUUCGUUCACAGACCUGAGUGCGGCAGGACUACCCGCCGAACUUAAGCAUAUUACUCAGCGGAGGAAAAGAAAACAACCGUGAUUCCCUCAGUCAGCGGCGAGCGAAGAGGGACCGAACUCGUUGCCGAAUCGGGCCUCAACGGCCUUGAGUUGUGGCAGACGGCGGUCGGUGGAUGGUGCGGGACUGGCGAAAUUCAAUGUGCAAAGCAAACCCUGCUGAACACAACCCUUCAUGUGAGUAUUGAGCCAUAGAAGGUGGUAGCCCAUUGAGCCAGGAACCCGAGCGCCUCAUUGGCUGUCCUCGAGCGAGUAGCACUGCUUGGGAAUGCAGUGUCAAGCGGCAGGUAUUUGUCUGCCAAGGUUAAACACAGAGUGGGAAGACCGAUAUCGAACAAGUAGCGUGAGCGAAAGUUUGAAAAGCACUUUGGAAAGAGAGUGACAUAGAACCUGAAGUCGUGACAAUGACAAUGGAAGUACCUCCAUUUCCCUGGCCAAAACCCGCCCGCGAGCAUUCUGUCCGGCGGGCCCUGCGGGACCCGUCCGGGAAACACCAAGUGCCGAACCGGGCUGUGGGUGAAAUGAGCGGAGAGAAAGUUGAGAGCACCGCGGCUUCACUGCCGUGGCGAGCCUCGUCUUCUCCGUGAUACUCGAUGUUGGCAAACUACCGAAAUGGGGUGCCUUCACCCGUCUUGAAACACGGACCAAGGAGUCAAACAGACGCGCAAGGGAGAAGAUAUUGUUGCCAGUACUUCUCUCGUACUGAAAGGGUUUCUUUUUAUGGUGUGCACGCAACACGAACGCCCAACACCGGCCGGCCCCCCGUGGGUUGAGUUUGAGUGUGCCUGUUUGGACCCGAAAGGUGGUGAACUAUGCCUGAACAAGGUGAAGCCCGGGGAAACCCAGGUGGAGGCCUGUAGCGAUGCUGACGUGCAAAUCGCUCGCAUGAUUUGGGUAUCGGAGCGAAAGACUCAUCGAACCACCUAGUAGCUGGUUCACAU